rnacentral:tRNA from 1 species
GGGAGUGUGGCUCAGUGGCAGAGUGCUUGCCUUGCAUGCAUGAAGCCCUGGGUUCGAUUCCUCAGCAUCACCG